AGACACACCCUGUAACCCACCUAAAAUACACCAAAAGACCAGACCAUCCGCGGUUUUCAAUCAAAAGAGGAACCCAAAAUUUUUUCGACCAUCUCUUUUCAAAAAGACAAUCCUAGCAGCACCCCUAAUUCAAGAGAACAGUAGUCGUUUUGGACAUAAGAAAAAUGAAUAAAACCUGAAUCCCCAAAGACCAGCAAAAAUACCAAAAAAAAGAAACAAGAGUCAGAGGAAAAUAGAUAUGGGAAGGUUUUUGUCAGUUGAAAUUUCUGUUUUAUUUUUUUAGAUAACACAUAGUCUUUCAACACCCAAUUUCUUUCACUACGUAAAUGGCUCCAUUUUCCACAAGAAAAAUACCAUAUCUUAGACAUACAAUCAAAUACCAUAAUUGCAGUCAUAUCUCAGCACUGAACUCACAGUAGAACCACCAAAACAACACAAUAUCAUAACCUUGAGUCUUAUAUUCUUAACUCGAAUUCCCUCUGAUGGGUAAAGGGCUUCUUUCAGUUGAGCCAAAUUUUUGAGUUGAGGUUUUGGAUGCUCAGAUCUGAGCGACAAAAGAGGUGGCGGGACUGUCCGUUUCAGCGCUUGAGGUUUCCGAGUCCAGUAUCUGUUCGUUUGAGCGUGAUGGCACCGCACCUUAAGGUCCAUCCUAUGCUUAUUUCUGUUAAUUGAUAUUUGAUCAUUGUGGCUCAAUGUUUUGCCUCAUUGAAUAUUCUGAAAUCUUGUUACUUAAUUCAACUUGACUCGGAGGCCACUAAGUAAAAGAGCAAAAAGAUUGAGUGUUAUUGAGUGAUUUAUAUAUCUUGCCCUGUUUUAGCAUAAUUAAUCCUUCACUUGUUGAUUUGUUGAAUGGAACGGAUGGAAAGUUUAGAUAAGAAUAUAGUGAUUUUAAGUCUUUUGUUAAUUUGUUUAAAGGUUCGUGCAUUUUGUUACUAAUGAAUUCAUAGAUUUCCAAAUUGUUGUUAUUGACUUCUAUGUUUUGGAUUGUGCUCAUUUAUGGUAGUUAUUUAUGGUAGUUACUGUAUGAUAUUAUUGCACGAUAUUUAUAUAUGGUUCUUAUGUUAAGAUAAUUAUUUACGUUAUUUCUGCUGGAGUUACUAAUGCUCUUUUGUUUUUGUUUUUGUUUUUACUUUCUUUCACUGAGUCGAGGGUCGAUUGGAAACAGCCUCUCUGCCCUUUCGGGUAGGAGUAAGGCUAGUCUACCUAUUACCUUCCCCAGACCUCACUUUGUGGGACUAUACUGGGUAGUUAUUGUUGUUGUUGUUGACUUCUAUGUGGAGAAUCUGUAUUAUGUAGUAGGAAUACGUUAAUCU
rnacentral:lncRNA from 1 species